rnacentral:misc_RNA from 1 species
UCGUGGGGCUCCGGCCCCGUCCUGAUAAUACCCUUGCCUUUAUGAGUACCGCCCGUUUCCUCGGCAGGCUUGCCUGCCAGCGGGGACAACCAACACCCUGAACCACCUGUCACCAGCCUGAUAACACAAACAAAAAUCA